CAGUAGCCGCGGUAAUACGAAGGGGGCUAGCGUUGUUCGGAUUUACUGGGCGUAAAGCGCACGUAGGCGGAUUCUUAAGUCAGAGGUGAAAUCCCAAGGCUCAACCUUGGAACUGCCUUUGAUACUGGGGAUCUCGAGUCCGGGAGAGGUGAGUGGAACUGCGAGUGUAGAGGUGAAAUUCGUAGAUAUUCGCAAGAACACCAGUGGCGAAGGCGGCUCACUGGCCCGGUACUGACGCUGAGGUGCGAAAGCGUGGGGAGCAAACAGGAUUAGAUACCCCUGUAGUCCCUGUCUCUUAUAC
rnacentral:rRNA from 1 species